CCUACGGGAGGCAGCAGUGGGGAAUAUUGCACAAUGGGGGAAACCCUGAUGCAGCGACGCCGCGUGAGUGAGGAAGUAUUUCGGUAUGUAAAGCUCUAUCAGCAGGGAAGAAAAUGACGGUACCUGACUAAGAAGCCCCGGCUAACUACGUGCCAGCAGCCGCGGUAAUACGUAGGGGGCAAGCGUUAUCCGGAUUUACUGGGUGUAAAGGGAGCGUAGACGGCUAAUCAAGUCAGAAGUGAAAACCCGGGGCUCAACUUUGGGACUGCUUUUGAAACUGAGUAGCUAGAGUGCAGGAGAGGUAAGCGGAAUUCCUAGUGUAUCGGUGAAAUGCGUAGAUAUUAGGAGGAACACCAGUGGCGAAGGCGGAUUACUGGACUGUAACUGACGUUGAGGCUCGAAAGCGUGGGGAGCAAACAGGAUUAGAUACCCUAGUAGUC
rnacentral:rRNA from 1 species